rnacentral:tRNA from 1 species
GAGGGUAUAGCUCAGUUGGCAGAGCGCUUACCUUGCAUGCACAAGGCCCUGGGUUCAAUCCCCAGCACCGCCA